GUUUACAGCCAUAUCACCCUGAACACGCCUGAUCUCAGAAGCUAAGCAGGGUCGGGGCUGGUUAGUACUCGGAUGGAAGAACCUGGGACCUUAUGCA
rnacentral:rRNA from 1 species